GCUUCCUUUAUUCGUGACCAUAUUAACAACAUAGCAUAACACAGCCUCUCGCUUCACUUUAGAUUCCAGCUUCCUGUCACUCUCCAUCUCUCGGUCUUUCCGCUUGGUUUGCUCUCAUGCACAAUCCUAUUUGCAGGUGGACCAUUGUGAUCUGUCUAAAUAUUACUUCUCCAGCGUCCCCGGUGCUCCACGGCCCCCUGGAGCUCCCGUCCGUCAGGGCUGAUGGAGACUCUCCCAGGCAGAAGGCCUCCCUCUACGGCUGAAAUAUUGAUCACAGCAACUCAUGGAAGAGCUACCACCCGAAGCCCGUGACAGCACUCGGGUCACAGUGACAAAGACAGAGAUCUCAUAUCUCCUGAAGUCUCUGAGGCUGUGCCAUUUGGAGGGUGUUAUGCAAUGCACAACUCAACCAACAAACAUCAAACACACGAGGCUUGAAUAAAUAUCAUGAACACAACUUCAUAUUCACGAGCUCUGCGACGGUCAGGACCUGUGAAAG